CGGGCGGGACGGCGCCGACAGGCCGAGGAUGACCGGGCCUAGCUCAUCGUCACAGCAGAAAAGUUACUUUCUGCCCGAGACUCGCGACGUUCGCCUCGCCUUAUGGCCCGCUGUGACUUCAGAGGAAAGAAUGAAUGCAACUGGGGCUUUGAGUCCCCACUGAGGGACACCACAGUGAAAGUGAAUAAAUCACCCGAGAAACACUUGCACUUGUGAAAGGUGUGGAAAUCGGUCAACAGAGUCAAUUUUUCUUGUUGCCGUCCCUUGGGGAGAGUGGCACUGGCCCUAUCAGGCCGAGGUCCCGCGACCCACCCCAGGCGCCGCGUGCGUCUUUAGUGGGCAUGCGCAGGGACGUCAGCGAGCGCGCAGAGGACGUUCUAGCGCAAUUGGGCGGCCAGGAUUCACACUGGCCAAUCAAAGAGGAGCAGUCGAAGUGUACGUGGGACGAAGAAGAAGCUCUUUGAAAGUUUGAACCGGCCUGUCAGUCUUUACCCGCAGGAGGAAAAAGACCCGAUGAUGGAAAAGUUUCUCAGAAUGAAAAGAACAGAAGAAUAUAGCUUGCCAUUAAUGUCUGGCCUAACGUGCAGCCUCCUCUUCAGACCUUACCAAGAACUCAACCACUGGCAUUUGUCCUGGCUGUUUGGUAUUGUAACACUUUUGAGCACACUGUUCAAUUCUUAUUGAACUAAUUUGAAUUAAUUUUAGAAUUAAUCUUUUACAAGAAACUACACAAAAGAAAAUGUAAAGAUGCUUUGUGUGCCUUCUUUUUUCGACUAAUGUUAACUUUCCCCUUGAA